UGCCGGGUCCCCGCCGUAGCGCCGGCCACGCUGGGUCUCCGGGCCGUGAGUCCGAGCCGCGGGCUCCGGGGCUACUUAAAACACAGCGUCGUCGGGCCGAGCCUUGCGUGUCGGCGGGACUCCGCGCUGGGGCGGCCGCUCUGGAAGGCGGCGUGGCGGGUCCCCACAAGUGCCGGGUGCGGCCGCCGCACGAGCCAGCGGCCCCCCUGCGUGCGCGGCCGAGGGGGAGGAAAGCGGGCGCCUAAGGAGAGACCCGCACGCCCCUGCCCGCAGCCGCAGGACGCACCGGAGCGGCCGCUGGGACAGCCCACGCUGCCGCCAGAAGAGCGGACACCAUGCGGCACGUCCACGCAACGGAGUGUCGCUGCCCAGACGGAGGAAGAAAGGAGGGACCCUGACCUCUGCCGCACGCGGAGGGACCCUGAGGACACGGAUUUUAUUUAUUUAUUCGACAGAGACUUACUGAGAGAGGGAGCACGUGCAGAGGGGGUGCGGAGGGAGAGCCCGGCUUCCCACCGAGCGGGGAGUCCGAGGCGGGGCUCGACCCCAGCGCCCGGGCCCGCCACCAGGACCUGAGCCGAGGGCAGACGCUCCGCCGACCCAGCCACCCAGGCGCCCUACGUGGGACUCUCCGGAGCAGGCGUCCAGGCCGGAGACAGCUGGAGGCUGCGCUCCUGAGGGUCCUGAUCGUGCCCACCAGGAGGGGACUGGGAGCCGGAGGGCCGGAAGCAGUGAAGGAUUUCUCCCCUUGACAGUCCCCUGUCCCUGGGGGUGUCCCGCCACGGCAACCCCCCACACCUGCCCGUGCGCCUACAGUGUCGGGUCCUUAUUCACAUUCCGGCCUCCUCAGCCCGGGGAUCUCGGGCUCAGAACCCAGCCGGACUCAGAAUCUGCAACACGUAUCUGUAAAGCGGGUCAAUGCGAAAGAGUGAACGUGCCCUCCGUUCGUGGGGUGGGGGGGGGCGUGUGCAGAAACCUGGAUUUCGUGCGCCCACCUGGGGUAAGACUUCAGUGAUGAAAACAAGAAAUGGCGGAGGCAGGUGGGAGGCUCUCCAACAGGGCGCCCGGGGUGGAGGGCUCUCCCCUCUGUUUUAGUCCACUUGGUGGGGUUUUUUCCCUUUUUUAUUUAGGGGAAAGUCCCGUUAACAGAAUCAAUCAUUUUAUUUUCUUAAGAUUUUGUUUUUAAGUAAUCUCUGUACCCCCGGUGGAGCUUGAACCCAUGACCCUGAGAUGGAGAGUCGCAUGCUCCACUGACUGACCCACCCCGGCGCCACCAGAGAGCGCCCGUGAUUGAUUACUUAAUAUUAUUAUCAAUAAUUAUCAAUUAUUCAUAAUUAUUUUGGAAGUGAAAACUCA